AUGGAGUGAGGGAGGAAAGGUCUUCCUUCCAUCUAGAGCUGGCCAGAGGGUCCUGGGGAGCCCAGGAAGCGGGGCCUGAGCAUGCCUCUUACACUCUCCGGGCUGGAGUUUCCCUGCUGACUCUGUGGACAGCAUCAACUGACAGGGUGGCCGUGAAGAGAGAAGACCAGCAAAGGGACUGACACAGGACUGGCACUUAGUAGGUGCUCAAUAAAUGCUAGUAAGUCGCUAUUG